rnacentral:rRNA from 1 species
UUGUGGCCACAUGACAUUGAAAUACCAGUUCCCAUACAAUCACCUAAGUUAAGCAACAUCAAGCCUGAUCAGUACUUAGAUGGGUGACUGUUUGGGAAUACCAGAUGUU